rnacentral:lncRNA from 1 species
AAAGAUAUUCAAGGAUAUGAUAAAGAGCAUAUUUAUUGACCAAAAUGACAUAUCUUUCUUAGUAUUCCUUCCUCCAAUGGAAUGAGCACAACAUGGUACUAAUACCACCAUUAAAAGUAAAAAAAAACUAAAAGAAGACAUGCCAAUGUACAAGUUACAUCAUAAUUUAUGUAUUAUUUCUAACAAAUCUCAUAAAACCUUCAAGGUUUGAGGUGGUUGUGUUGGCGGUGGUGGAAAUGAAGCUUGUUCAUCUCCACUUCCGGGUGAAGUUGCUUCCUGAGCAAGUUCUGCUAGAAACUAAUGAAGUUUCUGAACGUUUAGGAUGUUGUCUACUAAAAGUGGGAGUUUGUAGGGGUGGGUGUUCCGAUUCAUUAGUAGCAGGACUAGUAGGUGUAUCAUCUAAAUCUACCGGAGCUUGGGUUUCGUCAUCAUCAUCAUCCUCAUUUCCCUCUAA